UACGGAGGGUGCAAGCGUUAUCCGGAUUCACUGGGUUUAAAGGGUGCGUAGGUGGGAAUGUAAGUCAGUGGUGAAAUCUCCGUGCUUAACACGGAAACUGCCAUUGAUACUAUGUUUCUUGAAUUUUCUGGAGGUUAGCGGAAUAUGUCAUGUAGCGGUGAAAUGCUUAGAUAUACAUAGAACACCAAUUGCGAAGGCAGCUAACUACAGGGAUAUUGACACUGAGGCACGAAAAGCGUGGGGGAUCAA
rnacentral:rRNA from 1 species